ACUAGCCAGCCCACCUCCCUGUUCACGCGAUGCGAGCCGUUCAAGAUUCGACGGCGAAUACUUCCGUGGUGAGCGGCGGCUGUGGGUUCGAGCGUGCGGUGGCCGACGGGCAGGCGGGCUGCGUGGUGAGCGGCGCCUGGUGCGGUGGCCGACGGGCAGGCGGGCUACGUGGUGAGCGGUGCUGUAGUUUUUGGAGGCGGACGGCGGCGCUGUCGUGGGUGGCCGUGGCUUGUCAGCUUCCCUUGCUCGCAGCGACAACAUUCUCGCCGGGUUUGGCUUUGAUUUGGUUGGAUGUGUGCAGGUGAGAAUCGCACGAAUGGAGGUGAGCAGCCCCGAUCCUAAUCCUUUUAGUUUCAGUCAAUUUUCACUUCGUUUUGUUGUGCCGUGUUCUUCCCGAAUUGCCCGUCGGAGAGAUCACAAGACUAUACGCCCGAAGAGAUAAUCCGAAUUUUACUGUAUAUGCUUGUACGUGUUUGCAUUUGUUCGUCUAACACUAAUUAUUUUUUCUAAGGAAAACUCUCUGAUUAUUGUUUGGUUUCUAUCUCCAGGUAGUUUGGGCGAAUGUCUUUUUAGACUAGGAAUUUUCUAUCUGCUGCCUGUUCCAGUCCAUCCGUCCAUGCUGUGAUGGAGCAGCGCUUGUGUAGAUUUUUUGUGCUAUAUGAUUAGAAGCAUCAACUGCUACGUAAUGCAGGGCAGAGCAGUCUUGUAGCGUCGUCGGUGUUCCUCGGCCUCAGGUUACGGUGUCCGUUGGCAUGCUUCUUGAUGUGGUCUAUAUCUCCUCCCACCACGAAGGUUGGCAACCUUGUCUUCACCGACGGAGCCCCUCUCCAUCGAUUUACAUAGAAGGGUUCAGACUGGAAACUAAGGUUCUUCAAGUACGGGCAUGCGUUUCAUAGUCUCCAAUCAAAAUCUACAAGCAGUGACCAAGGCGACGUGUAGAACGGGACUAUGUGUGCUUGGUCGAGCAUCUGCUGCCAUCGUCGAAAAUGAAGAACUCGAUGGUUAAUAGAAUCCAUGUUAUAAAUUAUCACGCGUGCAUAUGGGAUUUUCCUGAGAUAUUGCCUCCAUUAAUUAUGUUUUAGUGAAGAAAUUUAUCUUGUGAUAAACGUAGGAGGGUGAAGACUAUGGUUGUCCUUGGAAUUGAGACUCUGUGAGAUGAAUGUUUCUACAGUACUCAUCCUAACUCAACUAUUUACUUUAUCCUUGAUCCUCUGGUAAGGUAGAAUCUUGAGAUCAGUAUGAGCUAGUCAGCCACAGAGGAGGCUGACGAGAUGGCCUUCAGGAUCGUUUGGAAAUAAUGUAACAAAA